AACAGUUUACCAACACUCUGGUGUCAAAUUUCUCUACCUUAUUUGAUUCCUAUUUUGGCGUAAACAAGAUUUACUUGCAUAUUACUCACCGUUGAUCCAACUGAUGAUUUAUACAGCUGAAAGUAUUGAAUCUUGAUCACUGUCUUCUUGUUGACAAACAGUAGCUAUUCUUCGGUUUAGUGAACUUUGAAUACUUGAAGACUGGGACUGAGAUCCAAGAAAUGUAUUAUAAGAUCGUCGUGGAUUGAAUGGUCCAUUUCAACUGCAUAAAU
rnacentral:ncRNA from 1 species